rnacentral:rRNA from 1 species
UUCAGACUCGUGGCGAAUAGCUCAGUAACACGUGGCCAAACUACCCUUCGGAACACAAUACCCUCGGGAAACUGAGGCUAAUAGUGUAUAUCGUACCACCACUGGAAUGAGUGGUACGCCAAACGCUCCGGCGCCGAAGGAUGUGGCUGCGGCCGAUUAGGUAGACGGUGGGGUAACGGCCCACCGUGCCAAUAAUCGGUAUGGGUCAUGAGAGUGAGAACCCAGAGACGGAAUCUGAGACAAGAUUCCGGGCCCUACGGGGCGCAGCAGGCGCGAAACCUUUACACUGCACGACAGUGCGAUAGGGGGAUCCCAAGUGCACAGGCAUAGCGCCUGUGCUUUUCGGCACCCUAAGGCGGUGCCAGAAUAAGGGCUGGGCAAGACCGGUGCCAGCCGCCGCGGUAAUACCGGCAGCCCAAGUGAUGGCCGAUCUUAUUGGGCCUAAAGCGUCCGUAGCUGGCCGCGCAAGUCCAUCGGGAAAUCCACCUGCUCAACAGGUGGGCGCCCGGUAGAAACUGCGUGGCUUGGGACCGGAAGGCGCGACGGGUACGUCCGGGGUAGGAGUGAAAUCCCGUAAUCCUGGACGGACCGCCGAUGGCGAAAGCACGUCGCGAGAACGGAUCCGACAGUGAGGGACGAAAGCCAGGGUCUCGAACCGGAUUAGAUACCCGGGUAGUCCUGGCCGUAAACAAUGUCUGCUAGGUGUGGCUCCCACUAYGAGUGGGUGCUGUGCCGUAGGGAAGCCGCUAAGCAGACCGCCUGGGAAGUACGUCCGCAAGGAUGAAACUUAAAGGAAUUGGCGGGGGAGCACUACAACCGGAGGAGCCUGCGGUUUAAUUGGACUCAACGCCGGACAUCUCACCAGCAUCGACUGUGGUAAUGACGAUCAGGUUGAUGACCUUAUCCGAGCUUCAGAGAGGAGGUGCAUGGCCGCCGUCAGCUCGUACCGUGAGGCGUCCUGUUAAGUCAGGCAACGAGCGAGACCCGCACCCUUACUUGCCAGCAGUACCGCGAGGUAGCUGGGGACAGUAGGGGGACCGCCGUGGCUAACACGGAGGAAGGAACGGGCAACGGUAGGUCAGUAUGCCCCGAAUGUGCUGGGCAACACGCGGGCUACAAUGGUCGAGACAAAGGGUUCCUACUCCGAAAGGAGACGGUAAUCUCAGAAACUCGAUCGUAGUUCGGAUUGUGGGCUGCAACUCGCCCACAUGAAGCUGGAUUCGGUAGUAAUCGCGUGUCACAAGCGCGCGGUGAAUACGUCCCUGCUCCUUGCACACACCGCCCGUCAAAGCACCCGAGUGAGGUCC